rnacentral:rRNA from 1 species
GACGAGGGAUCCUAGCGUUGUUCGGAAUUAUUGGGCGUAAAGCGGAUGUAGGUGGCUUUGUAAGUCAGAUGUGAAAGCCCAGGGCUCAACCCUGGAAGUGCAUUUGAUACUGCGAAGCUUGAGUGUGGGAGAGGAUAGUAGAAUUCCUGGUGUAGUGGUGAAAUACGUAGAUAUCAGGAGGAAUACCGGAGGCGAAGGCGGCUAUCUGGCCCAACACUGACACUGAGAUCCGAAAGCGUGGGGAUCAAACAGG